CAUCUGGCCCUGUCCACCUGUGGAUGGCUUCAAGAAAGAAGAAAUUAACACCUCCCCUCCCCGAGGCUGGUCAUUCCAGGUGAUAUUUGCAAAACUUAUGGAAUUUUUACUUUACUUCCUCAUCUCCUCCCCCUCUCUGUGCCAUAAAAGAAACUGGCAUCCAAACCCUGAUAAGAUGGUUAUUUUGAGACUUUAAUCUGCCAUCUUCUCGAUCCUAAAGUCGUAUUCCGUGCCUCGACACCUGCGAGCUUGGACUCGGUAACGAAAGGAGAAACCAUGGAUCACACAGAGGUGGGGGAAGCAUGCAGCUAGACCAGAGGAAGAACUGGCAUUUGGGCUCCAUCUCUCUGCAGACCAGUGUUCUCCACUGCUCAUGCUGCCUGGCAGUUUCAUUAAGUUCAGCAAAGACAGUUCUAGUCCAGCACUUGAUGGCAAAACCCGUUUCCCAAGCUGCGGAGGGGAUGGCUUGGGGCUACCAGAUGUCAUAGCAGAGAGCUGUAACCACAGAGAAUCCUGAGCCCAGAAGUGGGAGGGGGUGUCAAAGAAGGAGCCAGGGAUAGCUGCUCAGAGGAGAUGACUCCAGAGCUGGAUCUUGGCGUGUGAAGUUUGGGGCAGAGCCAGGUGGAGACAGAAGGCACAGUCAUCCAGGGGAGCAGACAUGGAGGAGGGCCCCAGAGGCUAAGUGUGAAGGAAAUGGUGGUUUCCAAGAAUAAGGAAAGUCAGCGUCCUAAGUGAACAGCGAGGGCACGGAGACGCCUGGAGAGAGAAGCAGAGGUCCCCUGUGGCUGGAGAGACCGCACACAGCUCUCCCCUCCAGGCUCAGUGCAGGGAGAGCAGACCCGGCCGCCUCUGAAUCCACUCCUGCCAAGACCCUGCCGACCUCUGUGGGCAUCCCUAGCCCUCAUCUUCCUGCUCCCUGUGAUGUGUGGUCCUCUUGUGCCCACUGUGACACCAGGCGCUCCGGGCCUGGCAGCCCCUCCUUUGUGCCUGGCAGGAGGCUUAACCUCCUGCAACCAGCCUCCAAAUGGCGUGGUCCUGAAGGCACGUGGCCGAGCCCUCUGCCCCAUGCUUCUGCACGGCCGACUCCCAGGCAGCCCUGUUUCUCCUCUGAGCUCCGGCCAGCCACUCUCCUGCUAAGCCUGCACCUCCACCACCAAGCCUGGCCAGAACCCUGGGGGCUUCUGGCCAAGUCCUGCCAAUGUUAUCCCUAAAUACCUCACUUCCACUCCUCACUGUCUCCUACCUCCCUCUCCCUGUGACCUGGUGCCUCAGGGUCCGUCCUCCUAACCGCUUCUCAAAAUGCAGAUAUAAUGGCUCUCUUGCUCGCCAGCUUUGACAGGCUGAGUGAUCUGCCAGCCAGAGAGGGUGGGACCUGCAUGACCGCCACCCAUCCAUCCAUUCAUUCAGCAGCCACAGGGGUGUGUAGGGGAGCAGGGCGGGGAUUUGAAGCCAGGGCACUUGGACAAGCCAGGCUCCGCCACGUGCUACAGAGGGAC